CUAAGAAUCUUCCGCAAUGGGGGAAACCCUGACGGAGCGACGCCGCGUGGAUGAUGAAGGCCGAAAGGUUGUAAAAUCCUUUUCUCUGUGAAGAAUAAGUGGGGAAGGAAAUAGCCUCAUGAUGACGUUAGCAGAGGAAUAAGCCCCGGCUAACUACGUGCCAGCAGCCGCGGUAACACGUAGGGGGCGAGCGUUGUUCGGAAUUAUUGGGCGUAAAGGGCGCGCAGGCGGCCCGGUAAGUCUGGUGUUUAAGACCGCAGCUUAACUGUGGUAAUGCGCUGGAAACUGUCGGGCUUGAGUGCAGGAGGGGGAGCUGGAAUUCCAGGUGUAGGGGUGAAAUCUGUAGAGAUCUGGAAGAACACCGGUGGCGAAGGCGAGCUCCUGGCCAUGGACUGACGCUGAGGCGCGAAAGCGUGGGGAGCAAACAGG
rnacentral:rRNA from 1 species